CCUACGGGAGGCAGCAGUCGGGAAUAUUGCGCAAUGGAGGAAACUCUGACGCAGUGACGCCGCGUAUAGGAAGAAGGUUUUCGGAUUGUAAACUAUUGUCUGUAGGGGAGAUAAAAGACUGUACGUAAGGAGGCAGCCCCGGCUAACUAUGUGCCAGCAGCCGCGGUACUACAUAGGGGGCAAGCGUUAUCCGGAAUUAUUGGGUGUAAAGGGUGCGUAGACGGAAGAACAAGUUGGUGGUGAAAUCCCUCGGCUCAACUGAGGAAGUGCAGCCAAAACUAGUCGCCUUGAGUGUCGGGGAGGAAAGUGGAAUUCGUGGUGUAGCGGUGAAAUGCGUAGAUAUUAGGAGGAACACCAGUGGCGAAGGCGACUUUCUGGACGAUAACUGACGUUGAGGCACGAAAGUGUGGGGAGCAAACAGGAUUAGAUACCCUAGUAGUC
rnacentral:rRNA from 1 species